CCACGUUUCCCUCCUGGUCAGCUGACAUGUGUCGCUGCUCACGUGACUAACGGGUCAACCUCUGUGCAGGUUCGCCCUCGGCGCCAAGUAUUCUGUCGAUAAGGACAGCAGCUUCCGCGCCAAGGUCAACAACAGCUCCGAGGUCGGCCUCGGCUACCAGCAGCGCAUCCGAGACGGUGUCACCCUGACGCUCUCCAGCAUGAUCGACGCCAAGAACUUCAACCAGGGCGGCCACAAGCUGGGCCUCUGCCUGGAGCUGGAGGCGUAAGCAGCUCGGCUUCGCUCGGGAGCAGAGACUGGCGAGAGUGGGAGCGUGAGAGAGCGAGAGAGAGCGGGAGAGCACGUGCACAUGUGGCGGGCGCGGCCGGGAGAGGUGGUGUGAUCCGGUCUCGUAUAGAGUGACGUCAUCCACUCCUUAGGUGACGUCACCGGGGCGUUUAGGUGUGACGUCACUGGUGUUUAGCUAUGACGUCACUGGUGUCCAGCUGGGACGUCUCCGGGACUUGGUUUGGGUUUGGAGAUCGGUGUUUAGCCGGGCGGCGGCCGGCGGCGGCUGCUGAUUGGCUGCCGGUGGUUCGCGGUGGCCGCUGAUUGGCUGCCGGCCGGCCGACUGUGGUGUGACGUCAUUGUAUGGCCUGGUGCGAUUUGCCGGGGUAGGCAGCGGUCCCCGUCCCGCCGGCCGGCCGGCCGACCACCCGGUCUUAUACAGGAGAAAACGCCCCGGCCUGUCCGGCGCAACUGGGCGGGGCAUAAACCGCCCCCGGCGCCGCGGUGGGCGGGGCACAAAAUGGUGGAUACUGUGGAGAGCCGGCCGGCCGGCGGGUCGGCGGAGACCGAGACAAAUAUACACUGAGUAAGACGGGAAA